CCUACGGGUGGCAGCAGUGGGGAAUAUUGGACAAUGGGGGGAACCCUGAUCCAGCCAUGCCGCGUGUGUGAAGAAGGCCCUCGGGUUGUAAAGCACUUUCAGUGAGGAAGAACGCCUGGUGGUUAAUACCCAUCAGGAAAGACAUCACUCACAGAAGAAGCACCGGCUAACUCCGUGCCAACAGCCGCGGUAAUACGGAGGGUGCGAGCGUUAAUCGGAAUUACUGGGCGUAAAGCGCGCGUAGGUGGCUUGAUAAGCCGGUUGUGAAAGCCCCGGGCUCAACCUGGGAACGGCAUCCGGAACUGUCAAGCUAGAGUGCAGGAGAGGAAGGUAGAAUUCCCGGUGUAGCGGUGAAAUGCGUAGAGAUCGGGAGGAAUACCAGUGGCGAAGGCGGCCUUCUGGACUGACACUGACACUGAGGUGCGAAAGCGUGGGUAGCAAACAGGAUUAGAUACCCUAGUAGUC
rnacentral:rRNA from 1 species